AAACAUUGAUAGAACUAUACACCCUCUAUCCGCCUGGGUACUACGAGCAUUAGCUUAAAACCCAAAGGACUUGGCGGUACUUUAGAUCCCCCUAGAGGAGCCUGUUCUGUAACCGAUAACCCCCGUUAAACCUCACCCUCCCUUGUUUUUCCCGCCUAUAUACCGCCGUCGUAAGCUUACCCUGUGAAGGCCUAAUAGUAAGCAAAAUUGGCACUGCCCAGAACGUCAGGUCGAGGUGUAGCAUAUGAGAGGGGAAGAAAUGGGCUACAUUCGCUAAAUAUAGCGAACACGAAUGAUAGUGCUGAAAACGUACAUCUGAAGGAGGAUUUAGCAGUAAGUGGAAAAUAGAGUGUUCC
rnacentral:rRNA from 1 species